CAUAGCAUUUACAAAAGCCUUCACCAUGCAACUCCUCACCUCCCUGACUUUCUGCCAUAGCUGUGCUGCCAGUCCUAAAGACUAGACUUCCCUCUGUGUUACCGGGCUGAGUUAGUGGAUUUGACAUGGCUUCCUAGGGGCAUCCCUUUAGAAGGGAAUGAUUGUCUUGGGAGAGAUGAAAAUUGCUUUCUGAGGAGAGCCCCACCCAACAAUUAUCCACAGAGUUUCAGGUAAUGGAGCUCAACAUUUCUGUGGUUUAUGUGAGAGGCUAUUCUGAUUUUCUUUCAAAAUCAAAGACCUU
rnacentral:lncRNA from 1 species